rnacentral:rRNA from 1 species
AGCAGCCGCGGUAAUUCCAGCUCCAAUAGCGUAUAUUAAAGUUGUUGCAGUUAAAAAGCUCGUAGUUGAAUUUUGGAUUCUGCCAAUUGGUCCAUCUUUUAGAUGAGUACUGGUUGUGUGGGAUCUAUCCGCCUGGUGAUACGUAAUGUCCUUUAUUGGAUGUUUCGGGUAGUCAGGACCUUUACCUUGAAAAAAAUUAGAGUGUUUAAAGCAGGCUUAUGCCGGAAUACAUUAGCAUGGAAUAAUAGAAUAGGACGAAGUUGUUUUAUUUUGUUGGUUUCUAGGACAACCGUAAUGAUUAAUAGGGAUAGUUGGGGGCAUUAGUAUUCAAUUGUCAGAGGUGAAAUUCUUGGAUUUAUUGAAGACUAACUACUGCGAAAGCAUUUGCCAAGGAUGUUUUCAUUAAUCAAGAACGAAAGUUAGGGGAUCGAAGACGAUCAGAUACCGUCGUAGUCUUAAACCAUAAACUAUGCCGACUAGGGAUCGGGCGAUGUUGUUUCCAUGACUCG